GUCUCAAGCGGCAUGCAAUACUGCAUUUUUCAUCUUGAUUAUCCAAAUUCCGGAUCAAAUAACUCAGCGAUAACCAUCGUUAACAGAAGAAGGACAAAGGCAGAGUCAUCUUCAACCAAUCAUGAACAUUACUGUGCUGGUGGAGAAGCCUGAAGGAGGAAGACACCACACGCCUGGCUCUGUCAUUGGCACUGAGCUGGACAGCCUGAUAUCUGUGGCAGAGCAAAGGACACGGAGGAGGCUCCUUUCCAUCAUGGACAACCAGCAUCAUCCAAUUCACAACAUCAUCUCGCAACAGAAGAGCAGUUUCAAUGGCAGAUUACCAUCACUGCCUUGCUCCACCGAAGCAUUGAGCAGAUCAUUCCUCCUCCACGCCAUUCAGCUUUUCAACACAGCAGAGGGGGAGCGAUAAAAAGAUACACAA